UUUUCGGGAGUUUGUGUGUUCCAUGUGUACUCCUUGCACUCACAGCACUGAAAGUAGUAAGAAGCCACCUGGAAGUUUUCUGGAAAAAAAGCCAGUGCAGGUUUAUAAGGAAAGCAGAGGUGUGGGGCUUGGGAAAAGCUUUUAAUUAAAAAAUAUGAGUUCUAGGCCCAGGGCUGGCAGUAUCUAACUAUGUAACCUUGGGUAAGUCACCCCCUUUCACUCAACCUUACUUUCUACACCAUUAAAAUGAGGGAAUAGGAAUGCAGGGGAGUACAAAUUAUCCAACCCAUUUACUCUGCCUACAGCAGCCAGACGUUUUUUUUUCCUGGAGGCCAGGCACGAUGGCAUAUUCCAAGCAGCAAACUUAGACAUUGCAGAUCUCCUGAGGUCCAGCCUUUGAAGUUACACAGUAACAUUUCUGCCACAUUCCAGUGGUUAAAGUAAGUCAUAGAACAAUACAGAUUCAAAGGAAACAAAUAGACUUCACCUCUUGGUGGGAUGGGUGGCAGAAAAGAAUUGUGGCCAUCUUUAAAUCCCCAUAGUGAUGAAGGGCACCAUCAUCAAAGCUGACAAAAGGUGCCACCACUGCUGCAGAGGCCCAAUAUCAUUUGGUCCAAAGCAUAGACUGCCUUAUGUUGAUGCAUUGAGACUGCCAUCUCCUAUUGCUGCUAAUACCAACAGUGCUAUUUACCAUUACUGAAGAAUUACGGUAAAGUCACAGGCACCAUCCUUCAUACUGUCAAUACUGCUGAAAUCAAUGGUAAUACCUUGCAUCCUCAUUGUCCAACAUGAUUUUAAUAAAACUCCUUUAGGGCCAGGUGCAGUGGCUCACGCCUGUAAUCCCAGCACUUUGGGAGGCCGAGGCAGGCAGGUCACUUGAGGUCAGGAGUUCAAAACCAGCCUGGCCAACAUGGCGAAACCCUGUCUCUACUAAAAAUACAAAAAUUAGCUGGGUGUGGUGGCACAUGCUGUAGUCCCAGGUAUUUGGG
rnacentral:lncRNA from 10 species